GGCGGGCAUAUAAGUCAGUGGUGAAAGUCUGUGGCUCAACCAUAGAACUGCCAUUGAUACUGUAUGUCUUGAAUUAUUGUGAAGUGGUUAGAAUAUGUAGUGUAGCGGUGAAAUGCUUAGAUACUACAUAGAAUACCGAUUGCGAAGGCAGAUCACUAACAAUAUAUUGACGCUGAUGGACGAAAGCGUAGGUAGCGAACAGGAUUAGAUACCCUGGUAGUCUACGCCGUAAACGAUGGAUACUAGCUGUUUGGACUUCGGUCUGAGUGGCUAAGCGAAAGUGAUAAGUAUCCCACCUGGGGAGUACGUUCGCAAGAAUGAAACUCAAAGGAAUUGACGGGGGCCCGCACAAGCGGUGGAGCAUGUGGUUUAAUUCGAUGAUACGCGAGGAACCUUACCAGGGCUUAAAUGUAGAUUGACAGGUUUAGAGAUAGACUUUUCUUCGGACAAUUUACAAGGUGCUGCAUGGUUGUCGUCAGCUCGUGCCGUGAGGUGUCAGGUUAAGUCCUAUAACGAGCGCAACCCCUGUGGUUAGUUGCCAGCGAGUAAUGUCGGGAACUCUAGCCAGACUGCCAGUGCAAACUGUGAGGAAGGUGGGGAUGACGUCAAAUCAUCACGGCCCUUACGUCCUGGGCCACACACGUGCUACAAUGGUAGGGACAGAGAGCAGCCACUGCGCGAGCAGGAGCGAAUCUAUAAACCCUAUCUCAGUUCGGAUCGGAGUCUGCAACUCGACUCC
rnacentral:rRNA from 1 species